rnacentral:lncRNA from 1 species
CCACAUUAAAAAAUCCACUUAUUCAUUAAUGGACACUGAAGUCUAUAUCUUGGCUAUUGUGAGUGGUGCUGUAAUGAACAUGAGAGUGAAGCUAUCUCUUUGACAUACUGAUUUCAAUUCCUUUGGAUAUGUACAUAAUAGUGGCCUUGCUGGAUCUUAUGGUAGUUCUAUUUUUAGUUUUUUGGGGGGAACUCCAUACUGUUUUCAAUAAUGGCUAUACUAAUUUACAUUCUCACAGUGUGCAAAUGUUCCCUUUUUUCCACAUCCUUGCCAACACUUGUUAUGGUGUAUCUUUUUAUUUCUUAGAGACAGGGUCUCACUCUGGCACCCAGGCUGGAGUGCAGUGGUGUGAUCACCACUCACUGCAGCUGUGACCUCCUGGGCUAAAGCAAUCCUCUCACUUCAGUCUCCCAAGUAACUGGGACUACAGGCAUGUGCCACCAUGCCUGGCUAAUUCUUUUUUAAUUUUUUGUAGAGAUGAGGUCUCACUGUGUUGCCCAGACUGGUCUUCAACUCAUGGGCUCAAGCUAUCCUCCUGCUUCAGCCUCCCAUUGUGCUCGGAUUUACAGGUACUGAAUAUGCAAGCA